rnacentral:rRNA from 1 species
AGAAUCUGUGGAUCGAGGAUUCGUCCAAGUGAAGCAGAAGACAGUGGCGGACGGGUGAGUAACGCGUGAGGAACCUGCCUUUCAGAGGGGGACAACAGUUGGAAACGACUGCUAAUACCGCAUGAUACAUUUGGGUGGCAUCAUCUGAAUGUCAAAGAUUUAUCGCUGAAAGAUGGCCUCGCGUCUGAUUAGCUAGUUGGUGAGGUAACGGCCCACCAAGGCGACGAUCAGUAGCCGGACUGAGAGGUUGACCGGCCACAUUGGGACUGAGAUACGGCCCAGACUCCUACGGGAGGCAGCAGUGGGGAAUAUUGGGCAAUGGGCGCAAGCCUGACCCAGCAACGCCGCGUGAAGGAAGAAGGCUUUCGGGUUGUAAACUUCUUUUAAGAGGGAAGAGCAGAAGACUGUACCUCUAGAAUAAGCCACGGCUAACUACGUGCCAGCAGCCGCGGCAAUACGUAGGUGGCAAGCGUUGUCCGGAUUUACUGGGCGUAAAGGGCGUGCAGCCGGGAAUGCAAGUCAGAUGUGAAAUCCAUGGGCUUAACCCAUGAACUGCAUUUGAAACUGUAUUUCUUGAGUACUGGAGAGGCAAUCGGAAUUCCUAGUGUAGCGGUGAAAUGCGUAGAUAUUAGGAGGAACACCAGUGGCGAAGGCGGAUUGCUGGACAGCAACUGACGGUGAGGCGCGAAAGUGUGGGGAGCAAACAGGAUUAGAUACCCUGGUAGUCCACACUGUAAACGAUGAAUACUAGGUGUGCGGGGACUGACCCCCUGCGUGCCGCAGUUAACACAAUAAGU